UCGUUAACGAACGAGACCUUACUCUGCUAAAUAGCCAGGCUAACUUUGGUUGGUCGCCGGCUUCUUAGAGAGACUAUCAACUCAAGUUGAUGGAAGUUUGAGGCAAUAACAGGUCUGUGAUGCCCUUAGAUGUUCUGGGCCGCACGCGCGCUACACUGACAGAGCCAACGAGUUCUUUUCCUUGUUCGAAAGAAUUGGGUAAUCUUGUUAAACUCUGUCGUGCUGGGGAUAAAGCAUUGCAAUUAUUGCUUUUCAACGAGGAAUGCCUAGUAAGCGCGUGUCAUCAGCAUGCGUUGAUUACGUCCCUGACCUUUGUACACACCGCCCGUCGCUAAUACCGAUUGAAUGGAUA
rnacentral:rRNA from 1 species